ACACGUUAAUGAUGUUGCAGGAUAUUGGUCAAGUGAAGUUGUUCAUGCUGAAGGUUGUGAUGUAAAAAACAGGUGGAGUCAGUCACACAUCUACUUCAGUUUAGGUCAAACACAUCUGGAGCAUCAGAGUCGUUCAGACACUGAGAGAGAAUCAUCACAUAAUCAUUCUGUUCAGAGAUCACCACUAAGAUCGGCAGCAUGCGUUCCACAGUUGGUUGUUUGAUUCUGAUCAUUCUACUUGGAAUCUGUGCAGAAUCAGCCUUGUUUAAGCCAAAGGUUAAGGUCCAUCAAUCAAAGAUGAGUGAGGAGUUGGAGCGGGACGCUCUUCAGGUCGCUCUCGUGGCUGUGACUAUCUACACAGAGGAAAAUGACAUGGCUAAAUACAUCAGGAAGGAAUUUGAGAGAAAGCAUGGGGGCACCUGGCAAUGCAUUAUGGGGUGCGUUGGUUACCAUGUGAUCCACCAGAGCAAUUAUAUCGACUUCUCUAUUGACGACCACGAGAUUGCGCUCUUCAAAACUGCCUGAGGGUCGGCAACGGUUCAAACACAAUUUAUCCACAACUAAUAAAACGUCCCCCUUCAGAUUGUG